GCCUUUGCUUUUCUCUCUUUCUGGGAUGUUUUCCCAGCGGCUGGCUUCUUAUCAUUUAGUUCACUCAGUCUCUAGCUCAAAGGUUACUGUUUCUAAGGGACUUUUCUGAAGGAACCCCACACAGCUGGCUCUCUAUCACUUUAUCCUGCUUCAUAUUUUUCACAGGAAUCAUCACGCCCUAGAAUCAUCUGAUCAUUUCUCUCCCUCCUUACAGUGUAAACUGCCCUAGAGUUGCAAUCAUGUCUUUCUUAUUCACCACUCUAUUCCCCUCAUCUAGAAUAGUGCUCGGUGCCUACCAGGUGCUCAAGAGCUUUUCCUGAAUACAUAAAGGAAUGAAUGAGUGAUAAUAGUGUUUAACCAACAUUGAACAACAUUUGGUGUUUUGAGGAGUCCUUUCACUUCCAUUACCUGGCAGCAUCCCCAUGAAAGUCUGUGAGCAGCAGUUCCCUCGCUGACAAAGACCUGGACGUGACCUCGAAUAUCUGCAGCUUGGAAAAUGUUACACGGAGCCACAGAUGACUUCAGGCAGGAGUUCCAGGGCCUGAUGAACAGCUACCUCUGGACCGUGACUGUCAGUGCCUUUUCCUGAAAGCCUCAUCUGCCCCCAGGACUCUAGCCACUGAAAAGGACCCAAGCUACGAAACUGCCCUCAAUGAAGAAUGAAAACACCAUUUUGGCUUUUCCAAACUAAUGGUUCUGGCUAAUCUUAAUCCAACUCCAGUGCCCAUUCACCUUGAAGAUGUUUCCAAGCCUCUUGUCUCUAAGGAAUUAUUCUCUCACGCCUCUCCUGCAUCUCUGCAUCUCUAUUACAUUGGUGGUCAUGUUCUGUCCACCUGAUUCCACACAACAGGAGCAGAAGACUUUGCCCUCUACUUUGUGUCCUUUUAUCUCAGAGUCCCCUUUGAGUCUUCCUUCUCCCACACUCACUACAUUUCGUCAGUCAGUAACUCCUACUGAUUCUCUUACAUUUCCACUGUCCUAUCUGAGUCUGGGCUACCUCCAGGUCUUGUUUUAUCUUCACAACAAUCUACAAGAUUUUCCUGACUCAAGUCUGCCUCCUCUUGUCCAUUUAUUUCUUACUCUGUGGCCACAGUGAUUUUUUUUUCCCCCUAAAAUGCCUAUUAUCUGAUAAUCUUAUUCCCUUGCUUAAAACUUUUAAUAUCGGCACAUUGCCCUUGCGAUAAGAUCCAAACUCCUUGCCAUGGCUUACAAGGCUCUAUCAGCAUCUUCCUUCUAACUCCUAAUGUAACUUCCUUCUAACUUCCUUCUAAUGUGCUAUACAUUCAAGAGACCCUUAGCUCCUAUUUGUUCCUUCUUUGAUGCCUGUUGGGCUGUUUCUUGGAGAAGGCAAUGGCACCCCACUCCAGUACUCCUGCCUGGAAAAUCCCAUGGACGGAGGAGCCUUGUGGGCUGCAGUCCAUGGGGUCGCUAAGAGUUGGGCAUGACUGAGCGACUUCCCUUUCACUUUUCACUUAGCUCAUGCUUUGGAGAAGGAAAUGGCAACCCACUCCAGUGUUCUUGCCUGGAGAACCCCAGGGAUGGGGGAACCUGGUGGGCUGCCGUCUAUGGGGUCACACAGAGUCGGACACGACUGAAGCGACUUAGCAUAGCAUGGACUCUUUCUUGCCUCUGAGCCUUCGCCUGUAUCUUUCCCAGUACUCUCCCUAUUGCUUCACCUGAUUCACUUGGCUAAUUCCUACUAAUGUCUUUGUUCUUACGUUAGAUAUCACUUCCACCUGGACAGGGUUCUUGCCCUCCUCUUCAUCUUCUUUUCUCUCAUGGAAUUUUGUUUUGUUUUCACAGCAGUUAGACGUUAUUAUAAUUUUGGUUUAUUUUCUUUUUUUCCCUCUAGACUGGAAGCUCCCCGAGGACAGAAAGUGUAUACACUUUGAUCUCAUAUCUUCAUCACCUAGCUCAGUGCCUGGCACACAGAAAGCCAUUGAGUAGCCGUUCAAUGAAACAUUCAUCUUUAUCCUUCCACACAAUUUGACUCAAUGCUUUCUAUAUAAUGGAUGCUCAAUACCAAUUUGAUGAAUCAGAUCAAAUUGACACAUUGCUCAAAUUAUCUGAUAGAGAAUGCAGACACAGAGUACCACAAUUAGCCCGCUUAGGGACUAUUAAAAGGUUAUUUGCUGAAAAAUGGAUUUGACUCUGCUGAUCAAUGACAUCUGAUCACUAAGGUGAUCAGAAUAAGCAGACCAUGAUAUGGUUUCUGAAAUCAUCUGAAGAUACUGGUGUUUGAUUUUUACUGUUUUGCAAUUCCACCUAUGCCUAGACAUUGGCCACUAUAGGGAUUGGUAGGAAUAAAAAUGACCAUAAUCCUAAUUAUAAUAACUAUUAAUAGGCAUGUAUGAUGUCCUGUUCAUAUAUGCAUCAACUCAAAUAAUUCUCCCAAUAACCCUGUAAAGUAUAAACUGCUAUUAUUCUACUUUACAGAUAAAAUAAGUGAGACUGAAAAAAGUUCAA
ensembl:lncRNA